AAACACUUUUGUAGAACUUUUAGCUCGCGAACGGCCCGAUCGGAAGAGGACAGAGACACGCUGUGGGAUGCUUGGGGCUCGUGGAGUGAAUGCUCUCGUACCUGUGGAGGAGGAGCUUCAUACUCUCUCAGGCGAUGCCUCAGCUCCAGGACCUGUGAAGGACAGAAUAUCAAAUAUCGCACAUGCAGUAAUGUGGACUGCCCUCCAGAUGCCGGUGAUUUCCGCGCCCAACAGUGUUCAGCUCAUGCAGAUGUGCGAUACCAGGGUCAGUACCAUGAGUGGCUGCCUGUGUACAACGAUCCCGACAACCCCUGCGCACUCAAAUGCAAAGCAAAGGGUUCCGGUCUCGUGGUGGAGCUGGCGCCCAAGGUGCUGGAUGGGACUCGCUGUUACACCGAGUCUUUAGACAUGUGCAUCAGUGGAGUCUGUCAGAUUGUCGGUUGCGAUCAUGAGCUGGGGAGCACAUCAAAAGAGGACAACUGUGGCGUCUGCAAUGGAGACGGCUCAUCCUGUCGACUUGUGCGAGGACACUACAAAUCCCAGCAUGCUUCAGGAAAAGCUGAGGAUACUGUUGUCGUCAUUCCCUAUAAGAGUCGUCAUGUUCGUCUAGUCCUGAAAGGCCCGGAUCACUUGUAUGUGGAGAGUAAGACUCUACAAGGGGUGAAAGGGGAAUUAGUCUUAGACACGUCAGGCCAGUACCUCUUGGAGAACACCACCUUGGACUACCAGCAACUUUCUGAUAAGGAGGUCCUGAGAAUCACUGGCCCACUUGGAGCAGACUUCACUUAUUUUAAUAAAGUAGACAUAUCAACACUAAUUUCAUCAGCUGAUACAUAUAUAUAUAUAUAUAUAUAUAUAUAUAUAUAUAUAUAUUUUUUUUUUUUUUGGUCUGUAGGUUACCAGCUGACCUCCGCAGAGUGCUUUGACCUUCGGAGUGGUCGAGUUGUUGUAGAUCAGUAUUGCCACUAUUACCCAGAAAACGUCAAACCUAAACCCAAACUGCAGGAGUGCAACAUGGAGCCCUGUCUGGCCGGAUGGGAGAGCAGUCCCUGGACGGCCUGCUCCAUGUCCUGCGGCGGGGGAAUCCAAAGUCGCUCGGUGUCUUGUGUGGAGGAAGACAUGCAGGGAACCAUUACUCCCACUGAGGAGUGGAAGUGCCUGUACUCUCCAAGGACGGCUAUCCUGCAGCCCUGCAACACCUUCGACUGCCCGACUUGGCUGGCACAGGAGUGGUCACCAUGCACAGUGACCUGUGGUCAGGGGUUGCGCUACAGGGUGGUGUUAUGUAUCGAUCACAGGGGACUCCAUGCUGGAGGCUGCAACCCCACCACCAAACCCCACAUCAAGGAGGAGUGUCUGGUGACUGUGCCCUGCUACAAGUCCAUAGAUUCACUCCCAGUUGAGGCAAAACCUGUGUGGCAUAAGCAGGCCAUAGAGCUGGAAGAGGAAGUCACAGUGACCGAGGAGCCGACCUUCAUUCCAGGGCCCUGGCAGCCCUGCAGCCGAACAUGCGGCGCUGGAACCCAGCAACGAACUGUCAAGUGCCAGGUGCUGCUCUCCUUCUCCCAGACUGUUGCUGACCUGCCCGACGACGAGUGUGAGGGGGUCAAACCUGCAACAAGUCAGCCCUGCUACCGUACUCCCUGCUCUGGCGUUUUGGCCCAAGGAAAUGGAAAUGAAAACGAAAACGAAGGGGAGACACCUGAAAGAGAGGAACUGCACGACUGGGAGUACGAGGGGUUCACGGAGUGCUCAGAGAGUUGUGGGGGAGGUGUACAAGAGGCUGUAGUCAUCUGCCUGAACAAGCAGACCAGGGAGGCAGCAGACCAGAGCCUGUGUGUGAGCUCCCGUCGGCCUCCACAACUCCUCCAGGACUGCAAAACUCAGCCCUGCCCGCCCAGGUGGGAAACAGGUGACUGGAGUUCAUGCUCUGCUACCUGCGGGGUUGGUCUGAGGACCCGCACCGUGGCUUGUACUCACCGACCUUCUAGGGACAGCAACCGAACUGAGGUUUUGAGGGUUGAAGAAUGUCAAAAUCCCAAGCCCAGCCCUUUCCAAGCUUGCAACCGAUUUGACUGCCCUCCCACGUGGGAAACACGGGACUGGGACCAGUGCUCCCAGAGCUGUGGUGGUGGAGUUCAAAAGAGGCAAGUCCUGUGCAAACAACGGUUGGCAGAUGGCAGCAUCCUGGAGCUGCCUGACACCUUCUGCUCUUCCAAGAUCCCUGCAAACCAGCAGCCCUGUGCCAAGCAGGAGUGCCCGCCGCAAUGGGUCACAACCAACUGGUCUGAGUGUUCAGUGACGUGUGGAAGCGGCAUUCAGAGACGUCAGACAGUUUGCAGAAAACAAGGCGACGAUCAGGCUGUAGACUCUAACAACUGUUCCCUGAAGGCCCAGCCAGUCAAAAUUCGUCCAUGCUCCCUCAGACUCUGUGACAACUCCAUCAAGCCUGAUCCUAGAAUACUGGCUCAGAGGAAGGUUUAUAUCCAGUGGAAGAAAAGCAAAAAGUUGCAGCUGGUAGUCGGAGGUUAUGCCUACCUCAUGCCUUGGACAACUGUGGUCCUUCGCUGCCCUACUCGCCACUUCCGAAAGGGCCACAUCCGGUGGUUGAAGGAAGGGAAGCCCUUGGUCGGCCUCCCACACCUCUCCGCAUCACUUGGAUCUGUAAAGAUUCAGCAGGUUCGUGCAUCUGAUGCCGGGGUGUACACGUGCGUUGCCGGCUGGGCGCGGGAACACCUGGUCCUACACAUUAUCGGCAGCAAGCAGAAACUCUCGGCUCCAGAUUCACGGCUCCUCAAAGGUGGACAACAAAACACUGGACGGGCAGGUGUGGCUCCGACGGGAGAAGGAUUUCAAGAGCUACCCAUCUCCCUCAACCAGUAUGACAAAAUUGUUGAGAAUUUGCUUGAACUCAAAGACUCUGCCCAAGAUGACAAAGACAUUAAUGACAAACCUCACUCCAGCGAAAAGAACAGGUCAAGCCUGGAGGGUGGGAGGGCCAAUGUAGAACUUUCCACUCCAGUUGUGCUUGUUGCUGAUACCCACAGGCUUGAUGAGCUCAUGCACAGCCUCUCCGAAGGCCUCAGAGGGCGACGGGGGGAACACCUCAUUGCUCAGUUGCUCAGCGAGCUCCUUAUGACACAAGGUGAAACCAACGAGUCCACUCUUCAUCCUCCAGAAAGUGCAGAAUCUUCCACACAAGGGCCUCUUCUUUAUAAACCAAGCGUCAAAGCUCAUGGAUCGAGGCCAAGAAACCCAAUAAUGGUCCAACACCCCAGGAAGGUUGGAGUGUUGCCAUCAUCUGAAAUGGUAGUACAAGUGGGGUUGCCAGCUUCGCUGCAGAAACCAGUUGCGAGUUUGGAGCUGAGAUGUGAGGCAGUGGGGAACCCUGAACCGUCACUGACCUGGACAAAGAACGGAAAAGAGUUGCAGUUUAACAGCAGAGUAGGCCUGUUGCCCACUGGCUCACUGAGGAUUCGGGCACCAAACAAAGCGGACGAGGGUUUGUACACCUGCACUGCCAGGAAUCGAUAUGGAUCGACGUCUCUUUCGUCUUGGCUGCAGAUUGCAGGUAAAGUCGAUGAACGCAGAAGCUCAAUAGUUAUUGUUUUUUGUUUGUUUUUUUGUGGAUGGAUCAGGUGGCGAGCAGACUUUUGGUCACCGUGUUCAGCCACUUGUGGAGGUGGUUCACAGACCAGGAGUGUCCGCUGCAUUAAAGGUCCAGAGGGCAGAUCGACAGAGGUGGAGAGCCGGCACUGUCGCGACGCAGGCCGGAGACCCUCUGACUCAAGGCUAUGCAACCUUCUGCCCUGUGCCAGAUGGGCCACCACCUCCUGGGGGCCGUGUCACGGUCAGUGUGUGGGUCCAAGUAUGGCCACACAGCAUCGCCACGUUUUCUGCCAAGACACAAAUGGAACCAAAGUGAGCUACAGGAUGUGCAGUGGACUCCACAGGCCCAGCUCACUGAAGAAUUGCUCCACAGUGGCCUGUGCGCUCCAUUGGCGUGCGGGUCCAUGGACGCAGUGCACCGCCACAUGUGGGCGCCAUGGUUUCCAGUCACGCCAGGUGACCUGUUUGCACCGUCGAACUGGCAGGACCGCACGUGAACAUCACUGCAUGUGGAGACCUCGCCCUCCAAGCUGGCAGCGAUGCAAUAUCCUGUCCUGUGGCAGAGGAGAGUGCAGAGACAGCACGAGGUACUGCGAGAGGGUUCGACAGCUGGAGCUCUGCCCGCUGCCCCAAUUUAAGAGCCGUUGCUGUCAGUCCUGCCGAAACACCUGA
ensembl:lncRNA